rnacentral:tRNA from 1 species
GGGCAAUUAGCUCAGUUGGUUAGAGCGUGCGGUUUACAUCCGCAAGGUCGGAGGUUCGACCCCUCCAUUGCCCA